rnacentral:lncRNA from 1 species
AGCGGAAGACAGAGGGGCCAGCACACACGGGCCCUCUCUCCCUCAGGCAGGUCUCCAUCCCACUGCCAGCUCUAGACCAGCAGGCCUGGGAGGAAAGAAGGUAGGCCAUCAGCUGGGGUGCAGAUGGAACACCUGCCAGUGGCUGAGAGUGUUCCUGAAAAUAAUCGAAUGAAGAGGCAAUACCUUUCCCCAGGGCUUGUUUCACAGAGGGCACCCAGGUUGGCACGAACACGUGCACUCAGUGACUGUGCCUGCUCUACACUUGGGCUUUUUCACCUCAAGGUUUACGCUAUGACUCAGCACAAGGAAUCGGUUCCUUCCUGCCUUCACCAGGAGGCUCAUGAAUUCACCGUCAUGCAGAGAUUUUAAAGACAACACCACUUCUGCUGGAUCAAAACCGGGAUUUUAAGUGAGCCCGCAGCAGACCCUUGGGAUUUUCUGGAACAGCGAUCCUAGUCUGCUCGGCAGCGGGAGUCAGCUCCAUCCUUCUGCAAGCGGACUCCCGUCAGAGACCAUCGCCCUCUGCCUGCAUGCUGUGCCCUGCGCCGCCCUGACCACCACUCAUGGAAAGAGAUGAUGAACUUAUUAAAGCCAACAACCGAAUCCUGUAUGUCAAACAGUAAUUCUAGUUGCCACAGAACCCAGUCUAGCAGUUGAGGUCCCAGAAUGGAAGGAAUCUGUCAGUAACAUUUUUGGCUCAUCAGGUCUUACAAAAUGUGUGAGAAGCAGAAAAGAAUGUUUUUCAAAGGUACUAUAAUCUAUAACCGACUUGGAAGGAAUGCAUAUGGGUGGAUCCAUUCCCUACUCUCUCUUUUAGAAGCUAUUUCUCUCUUUAUCCCACAGGCUGACAAAGGCUAGCCUGUGUGAAGUUUCAAUGUGGUUGAAGUUCACAAUGCUUUCUCCUCGUUUCCCACAAGGGUCCCCAUUAAAACAAUCUAGUGUUUCUCAGUACAUUUGUUGGCCUUGUCACAAAGUGAAAAGAACCAAGUCUGUGUGAACUUUCCUUUUCUGACCUCAUUUUCCUCUUUUGUUCGAGGACGGCUGUGUUUUUUCAGCUUCUGUGACUUACAGGAGACUCUGUGCCCAAUUUUCAAAGGAUCUGGGCAGUUGCACAGCCUGGUCUGUAGCUGUAAUCAAUUUAGCCAUGCCUCCAAAAGCAAAAAAUAGCUUAAAAGAAGCCAUCCUAGAGGGAAGAUGUGUGCUCCCUUCCCCUCGACCGGACGGAGUAUCAUCCCUCUCCUUUAUAUGGAGUUCCAAAAGUACUUUGGGCUGAAAGCCCAAAAAGAGGGCUAUAUCAUAGCGUUAAAAAUGGAACAUCAGAUGGAGAGGGUUCUCCCCAGGUUCCAUUCUCCCUCCUCUCGCUAGGCCCAGGCAAAACUCUACUUAAAUCAUCCCUGAAAGCUGGGGUCCAAUAGGCCUGAAGAGGGAGCUUCCCUGUUCCAUGCUAUUUUGGGAAUGUAAUCACAACAAUCAAUCAUCCACCAUUCCAAAUUUCCAGGGUCUAGAUGGGGUGUUUCACAGCGCUUGCCAUGGCCCACAUUUUAGCUGGCUGAUUGCAGGGGGGGCUUUUAAUGAGAAGCUAGAGUGUUUUAUCUAAUGAACCACCUGUCUCACAUGAUGAAGAUAAAUUUCUCUCUGGAGGCAGGACAGUGGACUAGAUGACACUUCCCAGUUUCUUUCAACAUAGAGAUGUUAUGACUCCCUUGUGAGUAUUCCUCUAGAGGAUGCUGCAUUCUUAACCCUUAAUUCCAACUUAAAUGGAUGCUCUCAGCUUCAUUUUUCCAUUGACUGGAUGUAAUUAGGGCAGUCACCAGUAAUGACACCUAACCUGGUCUUUUCCAUUAAGAGGCAACCUAAUAAAGAUGGGGCCAGACAUCAGCAGCCUUCAUAAAGUGGUGGAGGAAUCCUGAAGCCUAGACUGCUGAGCCUCUGC